rnacentral:rRNA from 1 species
AUUGAACGCUGGCGGCAGGCCUAACACAUGCAAGUCGGACGAGCGGCGGACGGGUGAGUAAUGUAUGGGGAACUGCCUGAUGGAGGGGGAUAACUACUGGAAACGGUAGCUAAUACCGCAUACCAUCGGAUGUACCCAUAUGGGAUUAGCUAGUAGGUGGGGUAAAGGCUCACCUAGGCGACGAUCCCUAGCUGGUCUGAGAGGAUGAUCAGCAAGACUGGAACUGAGACAUGGCCCAGACUCCUACGGGAGGCAGCAGUGGGGAAUAUUGCACAAUGGGCGCAAGCCUGAUGAAGCCAUGCCGCGUGUAUGAAGAAGGCCUUCGGGUUGUAAAGUACUUUCAGCGGGGAGGCGUUACCCACAGAAGAAGCACCGGCUAACUCCGUGCCAGCAGCCGCGGUAAUAC